CCUACGGGUGGCAGCAGUGAGGAAUAUUGGUCAAUGGGCGGAAGCCUGAACCAGCCAAGUAGCGUGCGGGAUGAAGGCCCUACGGGUCGUAAACCGCUUUUGCACGGGGAUAACACCCUCCACUUGUGGAGGUCUGCAGGUACCGUGCGAAUAAGGGCCGGCUAAUUCCGUGCCAGCAGCCGCGGUAAUACGGAGGGUCCGAGCGUUAUCCGGAUUCAUUGGGCUUAAAGGGAGCGUAGGCGGGCGUUCAAGUCAGCUGUAAAAUCGCGGGGCUCAACCGCGCCCCGCAGUUGAAACUGGGGGCCUUGAGUUAACAAGAGGCAGGCGGAAUUCAUGGUGUAGCGGUGAAAUGCAUAGAUAUCACGAAGAACACCGAUUGCGAAGGCAGCCUGCCGGGGUGCGACUGACGCUGAGGCACGAAGGUGCGGGUAUCAAACAGGAUUAGAUACCCUUGUAGUC
rnacentral:rRNA from 1 species